GGCCGCCUGGCGAAAUGGCAUCGCGUCUGACUACGAUAACAUGUAUGGAGAGUGAUUGUAAUCAGGAGAUUGCAGGUUCGACCCCUGCGGUGGUCA